UGGCCAUACCAUGCAGAAUAUACAGGUUUUCAUUAGAUCACCAAAGUCAAGCAUCAUUGGGCGGGGUCAGUACUUGGAUGGGUGACCACCUGGAGAACACCGUGUGCCGUU